rnacentral:rRNA from 1 species
UUAGUGGCGGACGGGUGAGUAACGCGUGAGCAACCUGCCUUUCAGAGGGGGAUAACGUUUGGAAACGAACGCUAAUACCGCAUGAUAUGAUCGAACCGCAUGGUUUGAUGAUCAAAGGAGUAAUCCGCUGAAAGAUGGGCUCGCGUCCGAUUAGGUAGUUGGCGGGGUAACGGCCCACCAAGCCGACGAUCGGUAGCCGGACUGAGAGGUUGAACGGCCACAUUGGGACUGAGACACGGCCCAGACUCCUACGGGAGGCAGCAG